UGCCCGGAUUUCACGGGCCACCCGGAGUCGAGCCUUGGGGUUGGGCGAUAAACAGGCCGUGGCCAAGGAGGAGGGGGGAGGGGGCGUUCGCUCUGCCGGGACUUCUCACAGACACCCCCUCCUUGUUAUUUUAGGUGUGGUUUGGUCCAGAUGUGGGGUUCCGGUAGCGGGUUUGAGAUUAAUCUAUUGUGAAAGGGGAAAGUAGCUCCGGCGGAAAGCGGUUAAAUCUGCGGAGAGGCUUCGAGACGGGAGUUCUCCCCCAUGCCAACCGAAUGGUGUGGCCCUGAGUUGGUCCGGGAGCCGGCCCGACGUGUCUGAGAGAGGCCCCAGAGGGGGCGGGGAGGUGGCCCGCGGAACGCGGGUUCUGUGAAGAGACGUGGGGAAGAUUCGACUCCGAGAAAAGGAAGAUCCCGAUUGAAAGGGAGGGAGGCCGCUGAGGGGGCGGGGGCUGCCAAGAUGGCGUCUGCCUCGUCUGGGUCGUCGGCGGUCGGGUCUUCACCCGUGGAUUCCGGGGUCCCUCCCUGCACCUCGUCCUCAGGUUUCAACUUUCUGUGCUGUGGGGUCAACCGUAAGAGAGCGUCUGGAAUCAAGAGACCCAUGGCAUCUGAGGUGCUUUAUGCCUCUGGCAUGCCCAUGAAGAAAAUAGGCCACCGAGGUGUUGAUUCCUCAGGAGAGACAACAUAUAAAAAGACAACCUCAUCAGCCUUAAAAGGUGCCAUCCAGUUAGGCAUUACUCACACUGUGGGGAGCCUGAGUACCAAACCAGAACGUGAUGUCCUCAUGCAAGACUUCUAUGUGGUGGAGAGUAUCUUCUUCCCGAGUGAAGGGAGCAACCUGACCCCUGCUCAUCACUACAAUGACUUUCGGUUCAAGACUUAUGCACCGGUUGCCUUCCGCUACUUUCGGGAGUUAUUUGGUAUCCGGCCUGAUGAUUACUUGUACUCCCUCUGCAGUGAGCCGCUGAUUGAACUCUGCAAUUCUGGGGCUAGUGGUUCCCUCUUCUACGUGUCCAGUGAUGACGAAUUCAUCAUUAAAACUGUCCAGCACAAAGAGGCGGAGUUUCUGCAGAAGCUGCUUCCAGGAUACUACAUGAACCUCAACCAGAACCCUCGGACUUUGCUGCCUAAGUUCUAUGGACUCUACUGUGUGCAGGCAGGUGGUAAGAACAUUCGAAUUGUUGUGAUGAACAAUCUCUUACCACGGUCAGUCAAGAUGCAUAUCAAAUAUGACCUCAAGGGCUCAACCUACAAAAGGCGGGCUUCUCAGAAAGAGCGAGAGAAGCCUCUCCCCACCCUUAAAGACCUGGACUUCUUACAAGACAUCCCUGAUGGUCUCUUUUUGGAUGCUGAUAUGUACAGUGCUCUAUGCAAGACCCUGCAGCGUGACUGUUUGGUGCUGCAGAGCUUCAAGAUAAUGGAUUAUAGCCUUCUGGUAUCAAUCCAUAACAUAGAUCACGCACAGCGAGAGCCUUUAAGCAAUGAAGCACAGUAUCCAGCCGACACUCGUAGACCAGCCCCCCAAAAGGCUCUCUAUUCCACAGCCAUGGAAUCUAUCCAGGGCGAGGCUCGACGAGGUGGUACUGUGGAGACAGAUGACCAUAUGGGUGGUAUACCAGCUCGGAAUAGUAAAGGGGAAAGGCUGCUGCUUUAUAUUGGAAUCAUAGACAUUCUACAGUCUUACAGGUUUGUUAAGAAAUUGGAGCACUCUUGGAAAGCUCUGGUACAUGAUGGGGACACCGUAUCGGUGCAUCGCCCAGGCUUCUAUGCUGAACGGUUCCAGCGCUUCAUGUGCAAUACAGUGUUCAAGAAGAUCCCCUUGAAGCCUUCUCCUUCCAAAAAGUUUCGGUCUGGCUCAUCUUUCUCUCGGCGAGCAGGCCCCAGCGGCAACUCCUGCAUAACUUACCAGCCGUCGAUCUCUGGGGAACCCAAGGCACAAGUGACAACAAAGGCGGAAGUGGAGCCAGGCGUCCACUUAGGUCGUCCUGAUGUUUUACCUCAGACUCCACCUUUGGAGAAAAUCAGUGAGGUCUCAACUAUUCCUGACCCUUAUUUCUCACCUGUAAUUGGAGAGACUUUGCAAAUGCUAACUACAAGGUUGGUUCUUUGGCCCCUUUCUCCAUGUAAUCUUCUCAUCUCUCUCUUCAGGUCCUUGAGAACCUCCAUAAUCUGUUGUUUCCAGAGAUCAUUGUUUGUCUUUUGCUCUUCACUUGAUUUCUGUAUGUUCACCUUCCUAAGAGCUCAUCUUCAGUGAUUUGGAAAAGUGUAUCAACAUCUCUGCAUUUUUAGGGGGUGGUGGGAAGCCUUUACAUAGAGACUUUUCUGAUAUUUAGUCAAAAUACUCCAACUUAUCCUUCAUCUCCUAGUGAGUUAAAAGAAUUCUUUUUAUUGUUUUUCUUUUUAGGGCCGCACCCGUGGCAUAUGGAAGUUACCAGGCUAGGGGUUGAAUCAGAGCCACAACCACAGCAAUGCCAGAUCCAAACUACGUCUCUGACCUACACCACAGCUCAUAGCAAUACUGGAUCCUUAACCCACUGAGCGAGGCCAGGGAUUGUCCUCAGAUUCGUUUCCACUGCACCACAACGGGAACUCCCUAAGCGAGAAUUCUUAGAUUAGAAUUUAAGACUGGAAAGAUUGUUAGCCAGUGAAGACAAUGAACAGGCAACCUUUCAAAAGGAUGCAGUGUAAAUAUUAUGAAUCUAUUUUUGUUUUCAGUGUGAUAAUCAUCAUAAUAAAUUAGCCCCAAACUUAGCAACUUAAAUAACACAUAUCAUAGUUCUGUGAGUUAGAAGUCUGGGUACAGCCUAACUGGGUCCUCUGGCUCAAGGUCUUUCAUGAAGUGGUAGUUAAGCUAUUUGCCAGGAGGUCUCACAUCUGAAGGCUCAACUGAGAGGCUUCACUCAUUUAUGUGAUUAUUGACAGAAAUCAGUUCCUGGUGGCUUGCUGGACUGAGGGCUUUAUUUCCUUGCUGGCUUUUAUCUGGGGGCCGCCCUCAGUUCUUUGCCACAUGGGCCUCUCCAUGGGACAACUCAGAACAUGGCAGCUGUCUUCCCUUAGAGUGAGCAAGGGAGAGUGCUUGCAGGCAGAAGCCAUAAUCUUUUCAUAACCAAAUCUUAGAAUUGACAUUCUGUCACCUAUAAUGCAUUCUAGUCACUAAAUCUAGUCCACACCUAAGGGAAAAGGAUUACCCAGGAGUGUAUCAGGAAGCAGGGAUUACUGUGGACCUGUGAAAUAAAGAGACUAGGAUAUUUUCCCACACACCCAGCAUACAGACCAGCCAUAGAUAACCUCUUUACACAUUCCUGUACAAAAAAGGAGAUUGGGAGGCAGAGUCAUUAAUCUAUAUAGUUGUCUAAAAUGUUGGAAUUUCUUUUAUCAGUUCUCAAAGGGUAAGAAUAAUUCAUGACUCUUGGCUCUACCUUUUGGACUCUUAGUUUUGCCUUCUGAGUCUUCCUUUUUCAUGAAAAGUAGAAUGUAUUUGCAGCUGAGUAAUAUUCUUAGCCUGCUUCUUGCCAGAAUUUUGGGGAUCCGGUGGUCUCUUUCUCUUCAUGGUGUGUUGUUUCUGUCCCUUUCAGUCCAAGCCGAAAAUGUUACUGCUGCUUUAAUACCCUCAAACAUUUUGUGGGCCUCCUAUGAAUCACAUUGGAAUUCACUCUAUUAGACAAAAGCCACACCCACAAAUACCUUUUUGAUAAGCUCUAUGUUUCUUAGAGAUCCUUUUGUUAAAUUGAGAGAAUCUGAGAGACUUGCCCUUAAUCUUUUGAAUAGCCUUUUGUAUGACUGAAUAGUGAUUUGAAUUCUUAAAAAAUGUUUUACAGUCAUACCCUUGACUUCAUCUGUAGACCACAUUUUCCUGGCAGUGCCUUAGAUUUUAUCCUUUUCUUAAUUUUAACACUAUUUGCUCUCUGGAGAGGCUCAGCAUUUUCAAAACCAUGGUUUCUUUUUGUUUUAUGGCCCUUCGUUUAAUUUUUUAUUCCCAUUUUUAAAAGUAUUACUGAAGUGUAAUUGAUUUAUAAUGUUGUGAAGUCCUUCCCUUAAUUUAGUUUUCUUCUCUCAUAUUUUACCAGGUGGCAUCUCCAGCACCUGGUUUAGAAAUGUCCCCAGCUAGAUCACCCGGGUCAUUAGGCACAUAUUCUACUUCCUAUGUAACUGUAGGUGACAUUGUUGCCAAACUUUGUUUCAUUACAUUACAAAGAUCCCUUCUUCAGUUUCCACUAAGAGUUUUCACACUGUCCUUGAAGCCUUCACUGGCAACCCCCUUAAAGUCCAGAAUUCUACAAUAUAUUGAGGGCACUUUUAAACUUAACUCUCCUUAAAGCUCAGUUCCAAAUUUUAGAUUUAUAUUACAGCAGGACUUCAUUUCCAGGUAUAGAAAUCUGUAUUAUCUAUGGUUUUGUGACAAAUUACCAAAAUUGAGCAGCUAAAAACCACAAACACUAUCUCAGUUGUUUUUUGGGUUUUGGUGGGGGGGUGGUUGGCUACACCCAUGGCAUGUGAAAGUUCCCAGGCCUGGAAUCAAACCUGUGCCACAGCAGUGACCAGAGCCACUGCAGUGAUAGCGCCAGAUCCUUCUGCAGCACAAGACAACUCCUACCUCAGAUUUUAUGUGACUUGAAAUCUGGGUGUGAAAAGAAAUUGAUUAAUUAAAAGAAAAGGUGUUUCCGUCAUGGCUCAGUGGAAAUGAAUCUGACUAGUAUCCAUGAGGACGCAGGUUCAAUCCCUGCCUUCACUCAGUGGGUUAAGUCUGGCGUUGCCGUGAGCUGUGGUGUAGGUCACAGACCCAGCUUGGAUCUGGCGUGGCUGUGGGUGUGGUGUAGCCUGGCAGCUGCAGCUUCAAUUAGACCCCAAGCCUGGGAACCUCCAUAUGCCACAGGUGUAGCCUAAAAAGACCAAAAAAAAAACCAAUCUGGGUGUGGCUUAGCUGGGUACCUUUUGAUCAGAGUCUCUGAGGAAGUUACAGUCAAGCUAUUAGCCAGCACUGGUCUCAUCUGAAGGCUGCCCAAGGGUGGAUCAGCUUCCAAGCUUACUAAUGUGAUUGCUGUUAAGAUUCAGUUUCUUGCAGGCUGUUGGACUAAGGGCUCAGUUCCUUAUUGGCUCUUGGUCAUUGAGACUCCCUCAGUUCCCUGUCACAUGGUCAUCUCUAAAAGGCAGCUCAGCAUGGCAGCUAGCUUUCUCAUAGUAAACAAUGAGAGAGCACGUUCCCAAGAGGACAGUAUAGUCUUUUUGUAGCAUAAUCUCAGAAUUGACUUUCUGUCACCUGUGGUGCUUUCUGUUCACUAGAAGAAAAUCAUUAAAUUCAGCCCACUCUCAGGGGAAAAUUACACAAUGGCAUAACUAUCAGAUGACAGUGAUUAUCAGGUACCUACCACACCUGGGGAUUGAAGACACUAGAGGAGGGUGUUAGGAAGUAUAUUGUAUAUAUUGUUGGGAAAUAGAAAUCAAGAAAGUAAGUAGGAAUUCCUGUCGUGGCUUAGUGGUUAAUGAAUCUGACUAGGAACCAUGAGGUAGCGGGUUCGAUCCCUGGCUUUGCUCGUGGUGGGUUAAGGAUCCCGCAUUGCCGUGAGCUGUGGUGUAGGUCACAGAUGAGGCUCGGAUCUCAAGUUGCUGUGGCGUAGGCUGUGGCUUAGGCUGGCAUCUACAGCUCUGAUUGGACCCCUAGCCUGGGAACCUCCAUAUGCCGCAGGAACCGGCCCUAGAAAAGGCAAAAAGACAAAAAACAAAGAAAUUAAGUAGGUAAUUAAAACAAUAUGCUUCCAAAUCUAAUAGCUUCUUAGACUCUCUUUUCUUCUUUCUUUUUUUUUUUUGUCUUUUUAGGGCUGCACCUGUAGCCACGCUAGGGGUAGAAUUAGAGCUACAGCUGCUGGCCUACACCAACAGCAACUUAGGAUCCGAGCCGUGUCUGCAACCUACACCACAGCUCAUGGCAGCACCAGAUACUUAAUACACUGAUCAAGGCCAGGAAUUGAACCUGAGUCCUUAUGGAUACUAGUUGGGUUCGUUAUUGCUGAGCCACAAUGGGAACUCCCUUAGCCUCUUCUUUCUGCAUCCUAAAUUGAUUCUGAAUGAAAUAUGGAGAAACUAUAUGAAAUUUGACUUAAAAGUCCUUUUUCUUAUCUAUUUCUUCUCUCUGCCUCCAUUUUUUUCCCCCUCCUUUUAGCUCAACCAUCUUGGAAAAGCCUGAAGUUACAGAUUUUACAGAGUCAGAGUUUAUCCACUGAGCAGAAAUCCUCAGAAGACCUGGAAUAAGAUUCUACCAUCUCUGUGAUCACAAGAUGUCAGCCCUUGGACCCAGCAGUGCUGAAUUUUCUUUUUAUUGGUCAUCCAAAAAGGAGUGUUAAUGGAGGCUAGGGGAGUUCUCCAUCUCCUCCCUGAAGAAGAACCUCUUCUACUUCCCCUUCCUCAUGAGUGGGCAUUAGUGCCUCGGACAGUUGAGGACAGCAGCAUCCUCUCCACUCCUAUGCUAGGGUGGCACAAGUUUUCAACUAGCCAACCUUGGCUUCCACAACUGAAUUAUUUUCAUACCCCUAUUCUUCCUGUUGGGAAUGGGGUUGCUGGACUUGAUAGUUUUCUUCCCCCUCACUUACCUUUCACCAGGAGCUGGACUCAUUAUUAAUUUCCUCAGGACAGACUGGCUGGUACAUCAUCCCCACCUUAGCUCUUUCUCUCUGGAAGAAGACCCCCGUAAUCUUUGUAAAGGUUUUUUUGCUGGGUGAGGGUGUUUAACCACCUCCCAACCCGCUUCCUUUAUUUCCUUAAAAAAGGAAAAGAAAAAUGGCAUACAGCAUACAGUUUCAAGCCAGACAGUGUCAGAGCAAAACUCCAGAAGCGUUGGGGAGAUGCCUAUUCGUCGGGUUCCUGCAGAAGAGCCCUGGUGUUUGAGAAGCAAAAGUCUGGUGUUUGCUCUGCGAGGAGCAGCUCCUCUUUAACUCCUCCUCUCUUAAUGAAUUUCUUAAGGCUGAAGGAAUGGAGAGAGUGGGACAUGGGGUAAUCUUUACCCCUUUGUUAAACAGUGGGGCAGUGGUGGGGCUAAACGAUCCAGAACCCUUCUUAGGCAGGACCUACUCACUGCCAGGCCAUAAUGAUUCUUACUGUUUUUCAAUUUGAAAUGUAUUCUGCUUGUUUUUCUAAAUACGAAGACUUAUCAAAUGAAUUUUAGAUUCUUCUCCAAAGGAGAUUUCUUCCUUGCUUUUACCACCUUUUCCAACAGUGUUCUGCUGUUCAUGGAGCUGAGAUGUAGAGGGGACACCUGUGUCUGGUUAGCAGGUCGUCCAUAACUGUGAGGCUAGAGAAUAUUCUCUUAAACUCAUGGGGAGCCAGCAGAUUCUUGCCUUAGUGAGGUCAUUGCUGUGCUACAUGCCUUGCUGCCUCUCUGCAUGCAGAGAACUUGGAAAUGGGGGCUGUAUAAUCCCUCUCCUCCUCAUGUUCUCCAUCCAAUCCUCCUAUCAGGGGAAGAAGCGGGCCUGGCAUCUCAGGCAGAUUGUUAAAUCCUUAUACUAUCUCCUCUCCACCCCACCCAACCUUGAUAGUAAGUUAGCCUGUACCCCAAGUAACUGUCUAUAUUAGACACCCCAGCCAGUUUCUGGCUGCCUGUCUUUGCUGCCAUGUUCUUUUUUACGAGAAGGAAAGAAACAAUUCUUGCUAUUUUUUUUCAUAAUUUACUAUUUAUGAUGUAUUUAAGUGUUUUAUUCAGGACAGAGUUCUGUAGGGGGUGGGAGGGAAUAUUUGAGGGAGGCUUGGUCUUAGGGAUGGGAAUCAACAUUUUUAUGAAGUGUCACAAUUUGCCUCUACUUUGUUCAGAAAUGGCAAAUACAGUAUAAAAGUGAUAAAUAUCUGGUUUUAAUGUAUUAAACUUUCAUCAGUUAUUUAGA